AGAAAAAAAUUUGAUUUUGAAAUCUUUAACUCGCUGGCUUUUAUUUUGAAAGCGCCACACAGUGUCGCGUCACCGGCCGCCCCUCAGCGGCUCAGACUGUUGGGGAAGCGGGAUUGUACCCAUGUAACUUGAAAACGAGUAACGUUACACAUCCCCACAUCUAGCAAGGAGUUAGUCUGUCUGUGUAUUCGCUUGUUCUUGACAUUCCCAUCAGUGUUUUUCUAUACCUUAUUCAUCUCCACUGCUUUCAUAUCAGAGAUCAGAUGAAGUUCAGCUGGACACUCACAGUGGUGAGGGUGAUGCAGGGAGAGCAGCACUGCAGAGUUGCAGGAAAAAGCCUUGCUGGAGUAGUUAAAGAUGUGCUGCUGAGAUUAAACUUACCAAAAGAGAACCAUUGCUGGCAUGAGGGCUGCUGUCCAAGUUGUUAGGACCUCACUCAAGGCCGAAAGAGAUGAGGCAAGUUUCAAAACUCUGUUUGAAGAGGCUGCAGGGAUCAUUCGUGGAUUGCCUGUAGAGAUACACCUAGAAACCCCCUAACGCCGGGGCAACAACAGAAGGACAACCCGGAGGUCGAGCUGCUCUGGAGGAUGACCUGUAGACCAGUAAUGUAGUUGUGAGUACCAGCAGCUGGAGUUCAGGACCACCGGGCAGCAGACAGGCCUCUGAUGCAGGGAUCUGAUGCUAAUCCCAGCAUCAGAGGUCAAUCAAGUUUUCCCUGAGGUUUGCAAUCACUGCUAAGUUCUCAGCCAUGGAGGGAAUAUCCUUCAGUGUCUACUACAGCCUGAGCUUCAUGUCCAUGGGGCCUUCAGUGGCUAAACCUUCCAGCUGUCACAGAAGAAGUUCACUAACCUUGGUUUGUUGGGCGGCUCAGCAGUGAGGUCAGAACUAAAGAGAAACAACACUUUAGUUUCUACUGAACAGAAAACAACCACACAUUGAUAUUAGAUAAUAAUGCAAACAGCAGAUGAUAUUUAAAGGUCCAAUGUGUAGGAGGAUCUAUGGUCAGAAAUGGAAUAUAGGGCUGCCGAGGUAGCUGAUAGUGUAAAGCCCAAUCUCUCAGUAAUAGAACACAGCUCAUUUAGUGCCUCCAAGACAGAUCUGGUGUCUGCUGGGUCCAUAUUGUGGCCAGCUCGUACUGUCACACUCUGUCACAAGCUUGUUAACAACCUUCCAAUGUUUCAUGUUUUUAUUUUAUACGACUGAAAC